rnacentral:rRNA from 1 species
AGAGGGGCCUGCGUCCCAUCAGCUUGUUGGUAGGGUAACGGCCUACCAAGGCUAUGACGGGUAGGGGACCUGAGAGGGUGGCCCCCCACAAUGGCACUGAAACACGGGCCAUACACCUACGGGUGGCAGCAGUAGGGAAUAUUGGACAAUGGGCGAAAGCCUGAUCCAGCAACGCCGCGUGCGCGAUGACGGCCUUCGGGUUGUAAAGCGCUUUUAGAGGAGAUGAGAAAGGACAGUAUCCUCUGAAUAAGCCUCGGCGAACUACGUGCCAGCAGCCGCGGUAAAACGUAGGAGGCUAGCGUUAUCCGGAUUUAUUGGGCGUAAAGCGCGUGCAGGCGGUCUGGUAAGUUGGAUGUGAAAGCUCCUGGCUUAACUGGGAGAGGUCGUUCAAUACUGUCAGACUAGAGAAUGGGAGAGGGAGGUGGAAUUCCGGGUGUAGUGGUGAAAUGCGUAGAUAUCCGGAGGAACACCAGUGGCGAAAGCGGCCUCCUGGACCACUUCUGACGCUAAGACGCGAAAGCUAGGGUAGCAAACGGGAUUAGAGACCCCGGUAGUCCUAGCUGUAAACGAUGUGAACUUGGCGUUGGCGGAGUUAAAUCUGCCAGUGCCGAAGCUAACGCGAUAA